GACGAACCGUGCGAACGUUGUUCGGAAUCACUGGGCUUAAAGGGCGCGUAGGCGGGCUCGCCAGUCAGGGGUGGAAAGCCCACGGCUCAACCGUGGAAGUGCCUUUGAUACUGCGAGUCUCGAGGGAGGUAGGGGCGUGCGGAACUUCCGGUGGAGCGGUGAAAUGCGUAGAUAUCGGAAGGACAUCGGAUGGCGAAAGCGGCGACGCUGGACCUCUUCU
rnacentral:rRNA from 1 species